UAUGACCGGCCAAACACAACUCCUGCCGUGGUUUCUACCCCACCAGGUCCACCACCUUCUCCCUCUAGCGCCGCAUCCAACUCUAGCGACCCAUCUCCUCCGGUUGUAGUUCACAGGCCUCCGUCACCAUCUAAUACCCAUACCAUGGUCACUCGAGCGAAACGUGGUCUCUUCCAGCCCAUCGACCAUCUCAACCUUCAUGUUUCCCACUCCACUCCUUCUCCUAUUCCUAAAACAUACCGGGGAGCACUACAUGACCCGCACUGGCGUCGUGCUAUGAACGAGGAAUUUGAUGCUCUUGUUGCUAACCGGACGUGGUCUCUUGUUCCACGUCCUCCUCGUGCUCAUGUUGUUUCAGGAAAGUGGAUCUUCAAACAUAAAUUUCACUCGGACGGCAGCCUUGCACGGUACAAGGCGCGAUGGGUCGUACGUGGCUACUCUCAACAACCAGGCAUUGACUUCGAUGAGACUUUUAGCCCUGUUGUGAAGCCCACCACGAUCCGUAUUGUUCUCAGUCUUGCCGUCUCC
rnacentral:rRNA from 1 species